AUCAAAUGCUGUGUAAUCGGUCAGUGUUUGCUGCUUAGAUGCUGUGCUUUCUGCUGGAGACACUGUGCCCUGCACAGUGGGGAUGUGGCGGCCGCCCCGCUAGUGGCCGGGGCCAAUGGUAGUGAGGAGCUGAGGGGAGCUGAGGGGACUGGGCCAUGUCUCUGGGGUGCAUAGGGGGCCUCUGCUCAGUGGCACUGAGGAUAUUUUAUUUUUGGAGUAAUUUUUCAGAAGAAUGAGUCAGCUGUUUUGAAAGUGCUUUUCUGGGGCAGUGGUUCUGGCCUGACGAGAAUGGAGCUUCUCUGCCACACUGCAAGGUGAGAGGACAUCAACUUGGAAGUGCAUCUUCUCAGGCUCUGGAAACACAUAUCUCCUGCUUCAGGAGCACUGUAUGUCCAUUCACAGCUUCUGGAGGACUCCACUAAGCUUACUUCCAUAUUGGAGCUCUGUUUGAUGAAGAAGGAGAAAAGUCUCUGAAUACUGCAAGCCCUGGUUGCUGCAGCAGACUCUGCUUCCUUCAGAAGGCUGCUCUUCUGCCCUGCCUGGGGAAGCACUCCUGCUGUCUGAGGUGUUGGAUGCGGGUGCAGAUGGGUGACAUUUCUGCUCAAACCUUCGAACCAUCAGGAAUUUCAAUCCCUCUGCUGCUGGAGAAAAUUCAAGAUAUUGGUUAUGUGCACUGAAUGGUGAAUGUUGGUGACAAAUCUUCAUUGGCAAAUGGUUUGGUUUGCUGUCAUCCUGCUGGGUGCCGUGUAAACAUUCCGUUGGGAACUGACACAGGCUCCCUCUGUGUCUGAGAUACCUUAUCUACCCAUAUUGAUGCUCUCUCUUCAUAAAUGCUGUGAUGGUGGCAUAGCCUAACCUUUGCUUGUUCUCUCAGCUCCUAAAAACUCCUCAGUGCGGGGCUCUGCAGCCGGAACAGUGUCUUGUGGUGGUGCAGGGUGGCAGAGGAGACUGGCUGGGGCCUGUACGUGGUGUGGUUGCAGCUACACAGGGAGCUUUAGGCACGAAGGAGUGAACAGUGUAACUGCAGGUCAGGUCUGCAUGGUGUGUAUGUUGGUCAGAGAGCUGCCUCUUUGUCAAAACUUUUUUGGACACAGGAAGGUAGAGUGGUGCUAAAUGUUCUGACCAUUUGUUUAAAAGCAUUUUUAAUUGCAGGGCUCAAACUGUCUGGUAGUAAAUCUUGAAUGUGGCAGUUACAUUUUCUAUACCACGCAGGAAAAAGGAUUACAGUAUUUACUGCAGAGACAGGAAGAUUGAUUCUCACUUGGAAAAUCUGCCAGAUUUCUUGAUUUAGAGGACUGAUGAUUGGUGGAGUUCUUAGACUUGAUUUAUAUCGUGUUUCUUUUUUUCUUUUCCCUACUUGUUCUUAUGAUAACAUCAACCAGCCUUAUUCUGAAUGAUUUUUUGUUUAAUGAAUAUUGUUUUCUUUGGAUACCGAAGUCAAAACUCUGUUCUCUAAUAUCUGCUUGUUCGCAGUAAUGUGACUCAAUUUCACUUGCAUGAGAUCUAAACAAAGUUGCUAUGCUUUACAGAGAGACAACCCUCAUUUUCUGUGCUAGAGACAGGCACACUAUUUCAAAAAACAACAAUCCCUCCCAAGGACAUAACCUGAAACCUUUAAUAAUCAUGUAAGCAAUCUGAGCUCCUCAGUACAUUUCUUCCAAAGCACUUCAGACCUUCUCCUACAUUUGCAUAUAAUUUGCCACAAGGGAAAGCAAGUUAACCCAGCAUGGGCUGGGGUCCCAGCUGGUGGCAGCUGUAGUCAGCCCUGUUGGUUGUCAGUUCAGCUCAGAAGCUCCAAGUUUGUCUGGGUAGAAAGUGAGCACAUAAAUGAAGCCAUUAGAGAUGAAGAAUAUUAGAAGGAUAAUUGAUACCCUGACAUUAUCGCUACAGCAAGCAUCUUAGGUCAUCAAUGUAAUACAUGACACUUCUAUAUUAUACCUGGUUCUGUACAAUUAAUCAUAUGUAAUCAUAUGAGAAACUUCCUUUUUGGCACCCUGCUUUCUGCCCUUUCAAGCUAGGCUCUCAGUGCCUGUAAAUAGCUUGAGCUGAUGUGGAGCUUUUCCUACAAAAACAAAAACCUUACUCAUCAGGCUCUUCUGCCUUCUCUCCUUCCCUUAUUAAUUAAUGCUAAGGAUAAUGCUUUUAAAUGAGAUUUGUUACUUACAAAAAAUAAUUGAUUAACUCCAAUUCCAAUUUUCUGGGACUUUAAGCAAAGUGUCUUACAGUGUAUGAUGAUCUGCUUGCAGGAGGACACACAACUUCGAAUUGCUUAGAGUUGAUCUUUGCACAUUAGAAAUCACACAAUCAAAGAAUUGUAGGGGUUGGAAGGGACCUCUAGAGAUCAUCGAGUCCAACCCACCUGCCAAAGCAGGUUCCCUACACCAGGUCGCACUGAUAGGCGUCCAAGCAGGAUUUGAAUAUCUCCAGAGGAGACUCCACAACCCCCCUGUGCAGCCUGUUCCAGUGCUCCGUCACCCUCACUGUAAAGA